rnacentral:rRNA from 1 species
AGAGUUUGAUCCUGGCUCAGGACGAACGCUGGCGGCGUGCUUAACACAUGCAAGUCGAACGCUGAAGCCCGCUUGCGGGUGGAUGAGUGGCGAACGGGUGAGUAACACGUGAGUAACCUGCCCUUCACUCUGGGAUAACCUUCGGAAACGGGGGCUAAUACUGGGUAUGACUCCUGGCCGCAUGGUUGGGGGUGGAAAGAUUUUUUGGUGGGGGAUGGGCUCGCGGCCUAUCAGCUUGUUGGUGGGGUGAUGGCCUACCAAGGCGACGACGGGUAGCCGGCCUGAGAGGGCGACCGGCCACACUGGGACUGAGACACGGCCCAGACUCCUACGGGAGGCAGCAGUGGGGAAUAUUGCACAAUGGGCGCAAGCCUGAUGCAGCGACGCCGCGUGGGGGAUGACGGCCUUCGGGUUGUAAACCUCUUUCGUCAGGGAAGAAGCCUUUUUGGGGUGACGGUACCUGGAGAAGAAGCACCGGCUAACUACGUGCCAGCAGCCGCGGUAAUACGUAGGGUGCGAGCGUUGUCCGGAAUUAUUGGGCGUAAAGAGCUUGUAGGCGGUUUGUCGCGUCUGCGGUGAAAACCCGGGGCUUAACCUUGGGCGUGCCGUGGGUACGGGCAGGCUAGAGUGUGGUAGGGGAGACUGGAAUUCCUGGUGUAGCGGUGAAAUGCGCAGAUAUCAGGAGGAACACCGAUGGCGAAGGCAGGUCUCUGGGCCAUAACUGACGCUGAGAAGCGAAAGCAUGGGGAGCGAACAGGAUUAGAUACCCCGGUAGU